rnacentral:lncRNA from 1 species
AGAGCGGGCGCUGCGAGCGGCAGACACACAGCGGCUCCGGCACCUCUCCUCGACUCAGGUCACCGCCCGCGUCCAGCCUGCACUCGAGCUGCUCGCCGCAGCGCCCGUAGAAGUUAGCGCUGGGGUCCAGAUCGCAGAGCUGGCCCUCCAGGUUUGCGCAUUCCCAGCAGCAGCCGCACGCAUCCCGCACCCGGCCUGCUAGGCAUCCCCGCGGCGCAGCGCACUCUUCUGGCCGGCAGGGAGCACAACCCUCGCCCUCGGCUAGCAGCCGCAGCCAGCCUCGCCGCAGGUAAUCGGGGCCUGUGGACGGCCUCGCGCUAACGGGUAGCUGGGUCCACACCACCAGCAAUAAUGGUAGUAGCAAGGACAGCGCCAAGAUCACAAUGUGGACCACCAAUAAAGCAAGGAUUCUAUGUCCCAGAUGGAGGUGAUGCCCACCCCACCUUAUCCUGCACUCGAUUCUAGACAUCUGUGAAGAGAGCGGAAUUCAUCCCUUUGCUGCCUGUCUCAUCUAGGUUUGCUGAGAUGUGAACUAGACUGAGAACCACAGUGUUCACGACCAUACCUAGAGUCAACAUGUAGAUUUUUGUUGUUGUUGCUGCUGACUCCAGCUUGGCCAUGGCAGGGACAGCGCAUGACAUGGCUCCCACCCCUAGAAAAGAGCCAGCAGGGCGUGGGCCUCUGGAAGUGUCGAUGGUUGCUGUGGGCAUACGGCUUGAUUGUAUAAAAUUAUAUAUUUUAUUUAUGCUCUUCCUUUA